UACGUAGGGUGCAAGCGUUGUCCGGAAUUAUUGGGCGUAAAGAGCUCGUAGGCGGUUUGUUGCGUCGGCUGUGAAAUCCCGAGGCUCAACCUCGGGUCUGCAGUCGAUACGAGCAAACUAGAGUGUUGCAGGGGAGACUGGAAUUCCUGGUGUAGCGGUGAAAUGCGUAGAUAUCGGGAGGAACACCUGCGGUGUAGACGGCUUACUGGACCAUAACCGACGCUGAGGCACGAAAGCGUGGGUAGCAAACAGG
rnacentral:rRNA from 1 species